rnacentral:lncRNA from 1 species
UAUAAAAACCAUGUCAGUUCAGGUCAUGCACCUAGAGUGUUUGGUAAAAUGCAAGGAGCCUCUAGGUAUUCUUGUUAGCCACCAAAAUUUCCAGGUUGAGGUCUUCUUGGAAGCUAACAAAUAUGGUAUGGUCAAUCUUGGCAAAACAGAAACUUCCUACUGCAAUUUUGGCAAAAGAGCAUUCCUGGGAGAAACAAAAUGAUGCUAUAACAUGCUCUCAAACAAUGCCACUUGGGCUGAAACUCUGGACUUAAGGGUUUUGUAGGGUCCACUAAAAGUAGUAAGAUUUUCAUGAGCUUUGGGUAAGAAAAUAAUAUGGUUGUAGUGCAAACUGCAAAUCUGGUCCAGAAUAGAAAAUAAG